rnacentral:rRNA from 1 species
UACAGAGGGUGCGAGCGUUAAUCGGAGUUACUGGGCGUAAAGGGCGCGUAGGCGGUUAAGAUAGUGUGAUGUGAAAGCCCUGGGCUUAACCUAGGAAGUGCAUCGCAAACGACUUAACUGGAGUAUAAGAGAGGGUGGUGGAAUUUCCGGUGUAGCGGUGAAAUGCGUAGAGAUCGGAAGGAACGUCGAUGGCGAAGGCAGCCACCUGGCAUAAUACUGACGCUGAGGCGCGAAAGCGUGGGGAGCGAACAGG